GUGUGCGACACUCUUCCUGCUAAGACUGCGGAGUGCAGAGGGAAUGAAACGACAGCAGAUCGUUAGACUGGGAUUGCCGGCAUUUUCCUAAUUUAUGCAAAUUAAUUUCAGAUGUGAAACCAGAGGGAGCGGCUAUGACUGCUUGGAAUCGAGACCAAGCAGUAAAAGGGUAAACUGCCUGCGAUGCUGUGGUGGUUCGUAAAGCUAAGCAGCGUAAGCCGCGGUGGGCUGUGGCACGCCAAGCAACAGCGACAAAGAAACACAGGCUGUGCCAGCCCUCUUCCUGGCAAGGCGGGCAGACAAAUGGCCAAUCAGGCUCAUUCUGGCAUUCUCGUAGGCGAAUGGGAUGGCAUACCGGUUCUCCUGUCGCCCCACCUCCUCUCCGUGCUGCGCCGCAGCUGCCCAGAAUGAUUUUAUAAACAUUUUGCCAGUGGAUCAAUACCUGUAUUGAUCAACCAUUGUGAGAGUGAUCCAUCUAAAACCCAGAGCAGCCUAGAGCUCAGAGAUGGGAGGAGCGAAAGAGAAAGGCUGCAGAGAGGAUGGAGAAGGAGAGAGAGAGUCUGCAGCCACAGUGAAAAGGAGAAGAGGUACAAGGGAAGAGAAUCUGAGAGAGGAGCAGACGCAGAACUGAAGGCAGGUGGGCAGGUUCUGGACAACGCUACCAGGCCACUGGGAUUAGGGAGGAACCUGUGAUAAUUGCUUUCUCAUUAAGGAUGGGAGGGUACGAGCGACUAAUGACUACCGCUUAAAGUAUGCGCUGCAAGUGACUGAUGAAGGAAUCGUGCAAAGAAAUGUGCAUGUGUACGAGAAAGGGGUGAAUCCCCCCACAUGACCGCUGACGCCUGUAGAGUUUGGCCUGAUCUGCCUUCAUGACUACAUGGGAGUGAGAAGGCCUUGUUGUGUUCAUGGUCAAAUCCAAACUACAAUUUUAUGAAGAAACAAGUGAGAAGACUCAUAGCAAAGGAUUAUCCUGCACCAUGGAUACAAACAUCCAA